rnacentral:rRNA from 1 species
AUACGUAGGUGACAAGCGUUAUCCGGAUUUACUGGGCGUAAAGGGCGUGUAGGCGGUCUUGCAAGUCAGAAGUGAAAUUCCUGAGCUCAACUCGGGCGCUGCUUCUGAAACUGCAGGACUUGAGUGCUGGAGGGGAUAGCGGAAUUCCUAGUGGAGCGGUAAAAUGCGCAGAUAUUAGGAAGAACACCGGUGGCGAAGGCGGCUAUCUGGACAGUAACUGACGCUGAGGCGCGAAAGCGUGGGGAGCAAACAGGAUUAGAUACCCUGGUAGUCCACGCCGUAAACGAUGAGUGCUAAGUGUUGGAGGGUUUCCGCCCUUCAGUGCUGCAGCUAACGCAUUAAGCACUCCGCCUGGGGAGUACGGCCGCAAGGCUGAAACUCAAAGGAAUUGACGGGG